CUCCACACAGGGACCAUCGGCCCAAAUAAAGUACUCACCCAGCAUCACGAUGACGGGGCGAACGCAUUGAUGCCGUUCUUUCAAGCCGUUCUUUCAAGCCGCCAAGCAAACCAGGCAACGGCGUAAAUCCCCUGCCUACCGCACCACACCAGCCCUCAACCUCGAGGCGCUUUUCGGCGGACCGCGAGAGGGCCGAGACUACCUGGCAUACUCCCCGCCGGACACACCAACCAUGGGCCCCGCACUCCUAAACCUACAGCAGGCGUCAGCACCCAAGGUAGCGACAUUGGGGAAAUGCUCCUGAGACCAGCACAAGACGC